rnacentral:rRNA from 1 species
CAAAAACAUAGCCACAUGUAAAUACAUGUGGUGUUUUCUGCUCAAUGAAGCUUAAAUAGCCGCAGUACCCUGACUGUGCAAAGGUAGCGAAAUCACUUGUCUUUUAAUUGGAGACGCGUAUGAAUGAAUAUAUGGGGACUUGCUUUACCAGUGGUAGAUUUUAAAGUUACUUAGUGAGUGCCAAUUCUCACAGAAAUAAAGGGACGAGAAGACCCUAGAAAUUUUUACGUACGUUUUUGUUGGGGCAACAUAGUAUCAAAUAAUUUACUAUAUAUAACAUGAAAUUUGUUUGGUAGAUGAAAUUACUCUAGGGAUAACAGCAUAAUUAACAAACGUUUGUGACCUCGAUGUUGGAUUAGGAAAUUACAACUUAAAAGGUAAGUGGUACCGCUCUGUUCGAGCA